UCUAAACGCAUGUUUCUAAAUGUGGAACUUCUUUCGGACCGUACCUAGCCAGCCGUGUUAAUCGGAGUAGUUGAGUGAUAUCCAAACCGGUCUUCGCAAACCCCCCUCCCCAACUCCUUUCAUCAAUCAGCACUGAUGAGCGUGGUGAAGUGCGGUUUAACAAUCGCCAUGAUGAUAUAGCGUGGGGGGGGGGGCCUUCAUCCAGCAGUGUAUUGACACAAGGAUGUAAUUACAUUUUGUCAUGGGAUAAAUAGAAGGCCUCUGUAGUGUGUGAUGCAAAGCUAAUUUAAUUCUGAUUUAAAGCUUUCGUGACUGCAGGGAUUCGUAUUCUUGGUUCUUUCGGUAAAGUCACGUAGAAGGGAAACAAUAAAAUAAUAAAACAAAUAUAUAAAACAAUAAAAUUAUAAUUUAAUUCGUGAACAAAAGCGUGUUAAAUAAGUUUGGAUGCUCGUAUUAACAAUAGUGGCAGGAGAAUAUGCAUUGGUUUUGGAGUGAAGUCCGAUGGAAAUUAAUUUGACAUAAUUGCAAGCCUGUUUACCAUGUGCGUUAUGGCUUAGAACACUCCCUGUGCAAAUAUUUAAUAUAUUUAGUAUUCAUUUCCUAUUUUUUCAAGUGACAAAAUGUAUUAUUUGGAAAAAUGUUAUUAAAACAUGAUGGGCGUAUAAAAUGUACAUCUUAUGAAUGCUCACGAUGUUCCUAUCAUUAAACGUAAGCGCAUACACUCACAUUAAUGCACACACUCUCAUAUUAACCUUACACACUUGUGCCUCGUGCAACAUCCCAUGGUGCACGUACACACCAGCCAUCGUACGUGCUGUGGAGGCCCAGUGCUGCUCCGUAUUAUUUGCAGCAGCUGAUAAACAGAUGCUUGUUGGUAGAGGUUUUUUGAGAAGUAGGCACGCAAAGGUGUGUUCUGCACGGCGAAAGGCAUGAUUGUGAAUGUUGGAUUGGUCUUCCCGUCAUGCCUUGCACGUCAAGUAGCGUCACGGAGGCUGCAUGCAUAAUGCACAAAAGUCUCGGUUUAGACCACCAACUCAAUACGGUUGAAAUGUGUGACCUUAUUAUUUUAGUAGGAUAAUGAGAAGUCUCUUUCAAGCAGCAAAACAGUUUGUAGUGUGAUAAGUUGUGACAAUGAAUUGUGGGUUUUCGAUUAAAUUGUUAUUAGGUUGUUGAGAAGUAAGGCAUUUUGCACCUGUUGGUAAAUUAAUCAUGCAUAUCGACAUUUUCAUCUGGUGUCGGAAUCAAUAAAUCAGACGUAUAAAAGUGGUGAUCUAGACGACUUAAAUCGAUUUUUGUUUGUAUGAUGCUGGCUCCCAAGCCCAAGGAAUAAACGUGGCAGUUAUUACACGUGACAAUUAUUUUGAAAGGAAUUGCAGAUGUUUAUAUACAAUGACACGCAUGAUUACAGGAAUGUGUGUAUUUUAUACACUCCACAUCGGUAUGUUGUGUCAAAUAUUACAUUCGGUUAGGUGUCGGUCUCGGGAGCCUGCUCGGCAAAGCGGUGUCAUUUUUUAGUCAACAUCUCUCGGUCUUGGCUUGACACCUGAUUCGCCACGGUUAAUUCGGAACCUCAAUGCAACUCUUGUGUGGAAAGGGACCCGCGCAGGGUACACAGAAAAGCCACUGGGGCCAUUUUUUCCCUUUCGAGAUUGUAAGCUUGCUGAAUCUGAAACCAAGCACAGUUAAAACCACGCUCUCUAUAAAGGCACAACGUCAAAGGGGGGUGGGGGGGGCUUCAUGGUACGAGAAUAAGAGAAGCCUUGUCUUCGGUAGAGGCGAGCUGGCAAUGGGUAAUCCGUGUGACCAGGCAGUGGAGUCCAGAGGGGAAUUCUCACAUUUCACGUCCCCGCCCACCCUACCUGAGCUGGUGUUAGUGAUGCCGAAUUAGAGUUGUGCUCUGGGCUACCAAACUCUUGCCUGUUUUAUAAGACUUGUCGAGUGUGUGGGCAGCUGAUAUGCUUGGCAAGCUACAUUUGCAAGCAGCUGCUUGCCUAUCUGUCUUCACUUUUCAUGUGCAAGUCGUCAUUUUUUUAUUUAAAAUUUUAAUCAACUGUGAAAACCCCCUUUAGGAAAAUGAAUAUUUUUAUUUGUAAAUGACAAGUUUAGAAGUUGUAAAGAAAUAUCGUUAAUAUAUAUUAAGGCAAUACAACUGCUUGCACUACCAGGGGCGGAGCCAGGGGGGGUGACAGGGGUGACAUUCUGCGUAUAAGUGUACGACACUCGGUCUGGCGGACUCCGUACAACUGCACUUUCAGAGUGUGUCGCCACCCGAUGGCGUCUAGUUCAACAGCCUGACUCUCUAAUCAUUCUUGAAAUUAAAAUUUGUUGAAUGUCACCCCGGCCUGAAAUCCUGGCUCCGCCCCUGUGCACUACCAUAUACAGACCACCCCCUGUUAACAACUAAUCGCUUAACGAUGGGCCUCCGUAGAGCCCAAUGUCUCGUGUGUAGUGUGUAUUGUAGAGUAGUGCAGUGUAGAUUAGAGCAGUGUAGGGUAGAGUAGUGUGGUGUGGAGUGGUGCGGUGCUGAGCUGUGCGGAGCAGUGCGGUGCGGAGCAGUGUAGUGCAGUGUAUAAUAGAACCCCUCUUAACGACCACCCCUGUUAACGAAUGGCUGUUGUAGGUACAGCAAAUAUUAAUGCAUUGAUUAACCGUGUUUCUUUUAAUAUUAUGUGUUUAUAAUGUUAGUAUCUUUAUGUAUUCAUAUCCAUUGUUUAAAUAUUAUAAAGUAGUCUUUUGGGUGAAAAAUUGAUAACUUUCGAUGCUUAUCAGUCCGAAUUAAGCCUUUGACGUGUAUUUCCUAAACUCGCUUAACGAGCAAAUCACUUAACGGACGGUUUAGUGGAACCAAUUGCUGUCGUGUCGUUAAGAGGGGUUUUACUGUAUUUCAUGCCCAGCGCCGUGUUUUCACCGUCUUGAGUCCGUGAGGGUUAGAUGUGAGAGCGUGGGGGGGGUGGAGUUGUAGGCUCGGCAGUGCAUCGCCUUUCUCAGCCUAGCAAGGGCGCUCUGGUCACGCGAGCCAUGCCGAUUUUACGUGGACGCACUUUGAGCCUCGUCUCGCUGAAGUUGUCACGCGUCGCGCUGACCUUCGCUACUCUGCUGCUGUGCGUGUGCCUGGCGGGCGAGCGAGUGAGCCCUUUACCUGCUGUUGAGAAGCUUGGAGAUGUUUAUUUUUCUUAUAUAAUAUAUACAUCUUGUGCUUUUGUGUGCGUUUUUUCUGAAGAAUGGGACAAGGUUCGCUUUGCGUUGCAGUGCUCUUAAUAUUCAGGAAUUUUUCACAUUCUCAACUUUGUUUUGUUCGUUUAUCAUCACAUGUUACAUAUAUCAAAGCCUGCUCCAUGCCACGAAUAUUGCAAGGCAAUAGCGAGCUAUUAGACUCGCGAGGGGAUGACGGACACUCUCGC